GCGUGCCUAAUACAUGCAAGUCGAGCGGACUUAAAAAGCUUGCUUUUUAAGUUAGCGGCGGACGGGUGAGUAACACGUGGGCAACCUGCCUGUAAGACUGGGAUAACUUCGGGAAACCGGAGCUAAUACCGGAUAAUCCUUUUCUACUCAUGUAGGAAAGCUGAAAGACGGUUUACGCUGUCACUUACAGAUGGGCCCGCGGCGCAUUAGCUAGUUGGUGAGGUAACGGCUCACCAAGGCGACGAUGCGUAGCCGACCUGAGAGGGUGAUCGGCCACACUGGGACUGAGACACGGCCCAGACUCCUACGGGAGGCAGCAGUAGGGAAUCUUCCGCAAUGGACGAAAGUCUGACGGAGCAACGCCGCGUGAGUGAUGAAGGUUUUCGGAUCGUAAAACUCUGUUGUUAGGGAAGAACAAGUACGAGAGUAACUGCUCGUACCUUGACGGUACCUAACCAGAAAGCCACGGCUAACUACGUGCCAGCAGCCGCGGUAAUACGUAGGUGGCAAGCGUUGUCCGGAAUUAUUGGGCGUAAAGCGCGCGCAGGCGGUCCUUUAAGUCUGAUGUGAAAGCCCACGGCUCAACCGUGGAGGGUCAUUGGAAACUGGGGGACUUGAGUGCAGAAGAGAAGAGUGGAAUUCCACGUGUAGCGGUGAAAUGCGUAGAGAUGUGGAGGAACACCAGUGGCGA
rnacentral:rRNA from 1 species